UAUAUUUUAGUAUGUAAUGUAUUGAAGACUUUGAAUUUUCAGGGGAUAGCUUAAUUCUAUUGAAUAUAA
rnacentral:tRNA from 1 species